GCCCAGGUGGCGGAAUUGGUAGACGCGCUAGCUUCAGGUGCUAGUGUCCUUUGGGACGUGGGAGUUCAAGUCUCCCCCUGGGCACCA
rnacentral:tRNA from 1 species